UUCCACGCCCUAAACGAUGUCUACUAGGCUGGGGAGGUUCUGACGCCGUCCUGGCCGAAGCAAAAGUGUUAAGUAGACCGCCUGGGGAGUACGGUCGCAAGGCUAAAACUCAAAGGAAUUGACGGGGGCUCACACAAGCGGUGGAGCAUGUGGAUCAAUUCGAAGCAACGCGAAGAACCUUACCUGGGUUUGACAUGCUUGGAUGUCUUACCGGAAACGGAUAAGAUUACCCGCAAGGGUGAAACAAGCACAGGUGCUGCAUGGCUGUCGU
rnacentral:rRNA from 1 species